UUGACCUCGGAUCAGGUAGGGAUACCCGCUGAACUUAAGCAUAUCAAUAAGCGGAGGAAAAGAAACCAACAGGGAUUGCCUUAGUAACGGCGAGUGAAGCGGCAACAGCUCAAAUUUGAAAGCUGGCCCCCUCGGGGUCCGCGUUGUAAUUUGUAGAGGAUGAUUCGGCGACGGCUCCCGCCUAAGUCCCUUGGAACAGGGCGUCAUAGAGGGUGAGAAUCCCGUAUGUGGUGGGCUGCCUUAGCCAUGUGAAUCUCCUUCGACGAGUCGAGUUGUUUGGGAAUGCAGCUCUAAAUGGGAGGUAAAUUUCUUCUAAAGCUAAAUACCGGCCAGAGACCGAUAGCGCACAAGUAGAGUGAUCGAAAGAUGAAAAGCACUUUGGAAAGAGAGUUAAAAAGUACGUGAAAUUGUUGAAAGGGAAGCGCUUGCAGCCAGACUUGUCCGCGGUUGCUCAGCCUGUCUCCUGACAGGCGUACUCUUCUGCGGCCAGGCCAGCAUCAGUUCGGGCGGUCGGAUAAAGACCUGGGGAAUGUAGCUCCUCUCGGGGAGUGUUAUAGCCCCGGGUGCAAUGCGGCCAGCCUGGACUGAGGAUCUCGCUUCGGCUAGGAUGCUGGCGUAAUGGCUGUAAGCGGCCCGUCU
rnacentral:rRNA from 2 species